GAUUAUCUUCCCUUGAAAAGCAUGGUGGGUCAGGAUGGCCUAUAGUGUCUUGCUUGACCUGAUGAGUAAGAACUAGUACAAUGUAUGAACCAGAUGGAUUCUCUUCAAAGGACUCAUUUGAGUCCCAAUUUGUAAAUUCAAGAUUGAUGGCCAAGGAGAUCGGAACACCAAGAGAUUAAGGCAGCACUUCUGUCAAAGUUGCAAAUCAAAUGAAGGCAUGCAAAUAUAAAAAAGCAACCAACACAGAUGAACAAAUGGAUUUCAUAGACUCAUAGAGUUGGAAGAGACUAUAUGGGCCAUCCAGUCCAACCCUCUUCUGCUAUGCAGGAAAAGUACAAUCAAAUAUCUCCCGAGAGAUGGCUAUCAAGCCUCUGUUUAAAAACCUCCAAUGAAGAAGCUUCCACCAGAUUCUGAGACAGAGAGUUCCUCUACUGAACAGCUCUUCUUAUGGUCAGGAUGUUCUUCCCAAUAUUCAAGUCCACGCAGCCUUAAGGUGGGACAAAGCAGGAGAAAGACGGGCACGGCUAGCCAUCCCACAAGAUGGGGAAAGACGGGAGGAAACGGGGCAAGACGGUUCCUCCCACUUUCCCCUGCUCCAUCUGAUGAAGUCCUUAAGACUCUUUCCCAUCAACGCUCUCCAGCCUCUAGGACACAGUGGGCAAUGGUGGUGGGACCCAAUUUCUGCCCCUGCAGUAGGCUACAUCCCUACUUUAUCAACUGAAAAUCAGCCACAAAUUCAACCAGGAGUCACUUACAGGUCUGCUCCAGUUGGGCCCAACAAUAGGAUUCGUGCCCAUGACCGAUGCUCCUCUCCAGCCUGCAGCAGUUAGAAUGUUGAUGAACAUUUCAUGACCUCACACCCAUUUAGCAAAUUGACAGUGCAGAAUAUGUUUUAUAGAGAAGCACAGACAUAGACAACUAUAUGUGUGUGUGUAUUCUCCACCAUAAACUUCGCUGGACCAAAUGUUCUGUUUUCCGAAUACCCGAUCACCAUCUCCCAAAGCAGUUAUUUUACUCUCAGCACAAGAAUGGAAAAUGGAAUGUUUAAAGCCAGGCUUAAAGCUAACCUUUACAAAUGUGGAAUAAACACCAAGAAAGAACUGGGGAGUCCUGGCCCUCAAGCAUCUAACUGGAGGUCAGCUGCUACCAACAGAGCUAUGGACUUUGAGGAGGUACAAAUGGAGGGCGAAAGACAGAAACGUGCUAAGAGGAAGAAGGCGCGUCAAGCCAACCCUUGCCAGGACCACCUUCAAUCUGGAAAUUGAUAUCCUUACCGCAAAAUAUCAUGCGGGUCCAAAAUAGGUCUCUACAGUCACUGCCAGACCCACCACCAAGACUACCUUUGGAAGACAAUAAGACAUGACCAUGAGUGAUCGCCCAGGACAAGAUAUAUAAAUAUACAGAGACAUAUUGGGACCAUG